ensembl:lncRNA
AAAUGCUCUGAGCAGCCGGGGAGAAGUGAGGCUGGGGCAGAGGGGAGAGGGCCUGUCAGUAGAUGCCUCACAUUUCCUAGACGGGGAUAUGCUUGAUGUUGCCCUUGCCUGGUGCCAGCUGCAGGGCCGGAGUGGUGAGGAAGCCCAUGAAUGGUUUCAAACGUGCAUUUUGGUGUUAAGUAGCAAACAAAGCUGUCAAAACCCUGGAAACAGGCUCUGGCUUGGAUUCAGACUUCAGGAAAUUCCCCCACAGCAUCUACCGCACGGUGCUCCUCUCUUGGCUAUUUUGAAGGAUCUCCUGAGCUUAAGGAAGGCUGCUGCACCCCGUAGGACGCUGAGUAGCUGGGACAGAGACCCGCAGGAUGAGGAGAGCCAGAAUUGUUCCUCCCCUAGCAAGUUGAGUGUGCUCCAGCAGCCGAGGCUCCCGAUGGCAUAUUAA